rnacentral:rRNA from 1 species
UACGUAGGGUGCAAGCGUUGUCCGGAAUUAUUGGGCGUAAAGAGCUCGUAGGCGGUUUGUCGCGUCUGCUGUGAAAACUCGGGGCUUAACCCCGGGCCUGCAGUGGGUACGGGCAGACUAGAGUGCGGUAGGGGAGAUUGGAAUUCCUGGUGUAGCGGUGGAAUGCGCAGAUAUCAGGAAGAACACCCGUGGCUAAGGCGGCUCUCUAGUACGGUACUGACGCUGAGGCGCGACAGCGUGGGGAGCAAACAGG